GGAAGGAAGAAUACCAGAAUAGGAUGUUCAGUCCUAGCCCUGUUAGCUAAUCUGAUGACAAAGGAGCUAACAAAGUGCAGAAGUGAAUACAUUUACAGAAGGAAUUUUCAGCUAAGAUAUAUGUUAGACUGUGGGCAAUAACCUGGUCAAUGAAUCAACAGCUAAAUUUGAUGGAAAUAAUACCCUGGAGAAGGUAAUGGUAC